AUUGAACGCUGGCGGAAUGCUUUACACAUGCAAGUCGAACGGCAGCACGGGGGCAGCCCUGGUGGCGAGUGGCGAACGGGUGAGUAAUACAUCGGAACGUGCCCGGUCGUGGGGGAUAACGUAGCGAAAGUUACGCUAAUACCGCAUACGAUCUGAGGAUGAAAGCGGGGGACCUUCGGGCCUCGCGCGAUCGGAGCGGCCGAUGUCAGAUUAGGUAGUUGGUGGGGUAAAGGCCUACCAAGCCGACGAUCUGUAGCUGGUCUGAGAGGACGACCAGCCACACUGGGACUGAGACACGGCCCAGACUCCUACGGGAGGCAGCAGUGGGGAAUUUUGGACAAUGGGCGCAAGCCUGAUCCAGCCAUUCCGCGUGCAGGACGAAGGCCUUCGGGUUGUAAACUGCUUUUGUACGGAACGAAAAGGCUCUGGCUAAUACCUGGGGCUCAUGACGGUACCGUAAGAAUAGGCACCGGCUAACUACGUG
rnacentral:rRNA from 1 species